rnacentral:rRNA from 1 species
GGAAUAUUGGACAAUGGGCGAAAGCCUGAUCCAGCCAUGCCGCGUGUGUGAAGAAGGUCUUCGGAUUGUAAAGCACUUUAAGUUGGGAGGAAGGGUUGUAGAUUAAUACUCUGCAAUUUUGACGUUACCGACAGAAUAAGCACCGGCUAACUCUGUGCCAGCAGCCGCGGUAAUACAGAGGGUGCAAGCGUUAAUCGGAAUUACUGGGCGUAAAGCGCGCGUAGGUGGUUUGUUAAGUUGGAUGUGAAAUCCCCGGGCUCAACCUGGGAACUGCAUCCAAAACUGGCAAGCUAGAGUAUGGUAGAGGGUGGUGGAAUUUCCUGUGUAGCGGUGAAAUGCGUAGAUAUAGGAAGGAACACCAGUGGCGAAGGCGACCACCUGGACUGAUACUGACACUGAGGUGCGAAAGCGUGGGGAGCAAACAGGAUUAGAUACCCUUG